rnacentral:rRNA from 1 species
UACGUAGGGACCGAGCGUUGUCCGGAAUCAUUGGGCGUAAAGAGCGUGUAGGCGGCCACUUAAGUCCUGCGUGAAAUCCUGCGGCUCAACCGCAGGCGGUCGUGGGAAACUGGGUGGCUAGAGUGCGGGAGAGGAGAGUGGAAUCCCUGGUGUAGCGGUGGAAUGCGCAGAUAUCAGGAAGAACACCCGUGGCGAAGGCGGCUCUCUGGAACGCAACUGACGCUGAGACGCGAAAGCGUGGGGAGCAAACAGG